UACGGAGGAUGCAAGCGUUAUCCGGAAUGAUUGGGCGUAAAGCGUCCGCAGGUGGCUAUGUAAGUCUGCUGUUAAAGAGUGAGGCUCAACCUCAUAAGAGCAGUGGAAACUACAUGGCUAGAGUGCGUUCGGGGCAGAGGGAAUUCCUGGUGUAGCGGUGAAAUGCGUAGAGGUCAGGAAGAACACCGGUGGCGAAAGCGCUCUGCUAGGCCGCAACUGACACUGAGGGACGAAAGCUAGGGGAGCGAAUGGG
rnacentral:rRNA from 1 species